rnacentral:rRNA from 1 species
ACUAAGCGUACACGGUGGAUGCCCUGGCAGUCAGAGGCGAUGAAGGACGUGCUAAUCUGCGAAAAGCGCCGGCGAGGUGAUAUGAACCCUUGACCCGGCGAUGUCCGAAUGGGGAAACCCAGUGCAAUUCGUUGCACUAUCGUUAACUGAAUACAUAGGUUAACGAGGCGAACCGGGGGAACUGAAACAUCUAAGUACCCCGAGGAAAAGAAAUCAACCGAGAUUCCCCCAGUAGCGGCGAGCGAACGGGGAGCAGCCCGGAGUCUGAAUCAGCUUGUGUGUUAGUGGAACGGUCUGGAAAGUCCGACGGUACAGGGUGAUAGUCCCGUACACGAAAAUGCACAUGCUGUGAACUCGAAGAGUAGGGCGGGACACGUGGUAUCCUGUCUGAAUAUGGGGGACCAUCCUCCAAGGCUAAAUACUCCUGACUGACCGAUAGUGAACCAGUACCGUGAGGGAAAGGCGAAAAGAACCCCGGCGAGGGAGUGAAAAAGAACCUGAAACCGUGUACGUACAAGCAGUGGGAGCCUCUUUAUGGGGUGACUGCGUACCUUUUGUAUAAUGGGUCAGCGACUUAUAUUCUGUAGCAAGGUUAACCGUAUAGGGGAGCCGAAGGGAAACCGAGUCUUAACUGGGCGUUAAGUUGCAGGGUAUAGACCCGAAACCCGGUGAUCUAGCCAUGGGCAGGUUGAAGGUUGGGUAACACUAACUGGAGGACCGAACCGACUAAUGUUGAAAAAUUAGCGGAUGACCUGUGGCUGGGGGUGAAAGGCCAAUCAAACCGGGAGAUAGCUGGUUCUCCCCGAAAGCUAUUUAGGUAGCGCCUCGUGAACUCAUCUUCGGGGUAGAGCACUGUUUCGGCUAGGGGGCCAUCCCGGCUUACCAACCCGAUGCAAACUACGAAUACCGAAGAAUGUUAUCACGGGAGACACACGGCGGGUGCUAACGUCCGUCGUGAAGAGGGAAACAACCCAGACCGCCAGCUAAGGUCCCAAAGUCAUGGUUAAGUGGGAAACGAUGUGGGAAGGCACAGACAGCCAGGAUGUUGGCUUAGAAGCAGCCAUCAUUUAAAGAAAGCGUAAUAGCUCACUGGUCGAGUCGGCCUGCGCGGAAGAUGUAACGGGGCUAAACCAUGCACCGAAGCUGCGGCAGCGACGCUUAUGCGUUGUUGGGUAGGGGAGCGUUCUGUAAGCCGUUGAAGGUGUGCUGUGAGGCAUGCUGGAGGUAUCAGAAGUGCGAAUGCUGACAUAAGUAACGAUAAAGCGGGUGAAAAGCCCGCUCGCCGGAAGACCAAGGGUUCCUGUCCAACGUUAAUCGGGGCAGGGUGAGUCGACCCCUAAGGCGAGGCCGAAAGGCGUAGUCGAUGGGAAACAGGUUAAUAUUCCUGUACUUGGUGUUACUGCGAAGGGGGACGGAGAAGGCUAUGUCAGCCGGGCGACGGUUGUCCCGGUUUAAGCAUGUAGGCGGAGGUUCCAGGUAAAUCCGGUACCUUUUAACGCUGAGGUGUGAUGACGAGGCACUACGGUGCUGAAGUGAUAAAUGCCCUGCUUCCAGGAAAAGCCUCUAAGCAUCAGGUAACAUCAAAUCGUACCCCAAACCGACACAGGUGGUCAGGUAGAGAAUACCAAGGCGCUUGAGAGAACUCGGGUGAAGGAACUAGGCAAAAUGGUGCCGUAACUUCGGGAGAAGGCACGCUGAUGUGUAGGUGAAGCCCCUGCGGGCGGAGCUGAAAUCAGUCGAAGAUACCAGCUGGCUGCAACUGUUUAUUAAAAACACAGCACUGUGCAAACACGAAAGUGGACGUAUACGGUGUGACGCCUGCCCGGUGCCGGAAGGUUAAUUGAUGGGGUUAGCGGCAACGCGAAGCUCUUGAUCGAAGCCCCGGUAAACGGCGGCCGUAACUAUAACGGUCCUAAGGUAGCGAAAUUCCUUGUCGGGUAAGUUCCGACCUGCACGAAUGGCGUAAUGAUGGCCAGGCUGUCUCCACCCGAGACUCAGUGAAAUUGAACUCGCUGUGAAGAUGCAGUGUACCCGCGGCAAGACGGAAAGACCCCGUGAACCUUUACUAUAGCUUGACACUGAACACUGGUCCUUGAUGUGUAGGAUAGGUGGGAGGCUUUGAAGCGUGGACGCCAGUCUGCGUGGAGCCGACCUUGAAAUACCACCCUUUAAUGGCUGGUGUUCUAACGUAGACCCGUAAUCCGGGUUGCGGACAGUGUCUGGUGGGUAGUUUGACUGGGGCGGUCUCCUCCCAAAGAGUAACGGAGGAGCACGAAGGUUGGCUAAUCCUGGUCGGACAUCAGGAGGUUAGUGCAAUGGCAUAAGCCAGCUUGACUGCGAGCGUGACGGCGCGAGCAGGUGCGAAAGCAGGUCAUAGUGAUCCGGUGGUUCUGAAUGGAAGGGCCAUCGCUCAACGGAUAAAAGGUACUCCGGGGAUAACAGGCUGAUACCGCCCAAGAGUUCAUAUCGACGGCGGUGUUUGGCACCUCGAUGUCGGCUCAUCACAUCCUGGGGCUGAAGUAGGUCCCAAGGGUAUGGCUGUUCGCCAUUUAAAGUGGUACGCGAGCUGGGUUUAGAACGUCGUGAGACAGUUCGGUCCCUAUCUGCCGUGGGCGCUGGAGAAUUGAGGGGGCUGCUCCUAGUACGAGAGGACCGGAGUGGACGCAUCACUGGUGUUCGGGUUGUCAUGCCAAUGGCACUGCCCGGUAGCUAAAUGCGGAAGAGAUAAGUGCUGAAAGCAUCUAAGCACGAAACUUGCCCCGAGAUGAGUUCUCCCUGAGACUUUAAGUCUCCUGAAGGAACGUUGAAGACGACGACGUUGAUAGGUCGGGUGUGUAAGCGCAGCGAUGCGUUGAGCUAACCGAUACUAAUGAACCGUGAGGCUUAACC